rnacentral:rRNA from 1 species
GGAUGGGGACAACCGUUGGAAACGACGGCUAAUCCCCAAUAGGCCGCAAGGUGAAACGGGAUUCCGCCUGGAGAGGAGCUCGCGUACGAUUAGUUAGUUGGUGAGGUAAGAGCUUACCAAGGCAGCGAUCGGUAGCUGGUCUGAGAGGAUGAGCAGCCACACUGGGACUGAGACACGGCCCAGACUCCUACGGGAGGCAGCAGUGGGGAAUUUUCCGCAAUGGGCGCAAGCCUGACGGAGCAACGCCGCGUGUGGGAAGAAGGCUCUUGGGCUGUCAACCAGUUUUCUCAGGGAAGAAGCCCUGACGGUACCUGAGGAAUCAGCCUCGGCUAACUCCGUGCCAGCAGCCGCGGUAAUACGGAGGAGGCAAGCGUUAUCCGGAAUUAUUGGGCGUAAAGCGUCCGCAGGGGGCACAUCAAGUCUGCUGUUAAAGGCUGGAGCUUAACUCCGGUAGAGCAGUGGAAACUGGUGUGCUAGAGGGCGACAGGGGUAGAGGGAAUUCCCAGUGUAACGGUGAAAUGCGUAGAGAUUGGGAAGAACACCGGUGGCGAAAGCGCUCUACUGGGUCGCACCUGACCCUCAGGGACGAAAGCUAAGGUAGCGAAAGGGAUUAGAUACCCCUGUAGUCUUAGCCGUAAACGAUGGAUACUAGGCGUGGUUUGUAUCGACCCUAGCCGUGCCGAAGGCUAACGCGCUAAGUAUCCCGCCUGGGGAGUACGCACGCAAGUGUGAAACUCAAAGGAAUUGACGGGGGCCCGCACAAGCGGUGGAGGAUGUGGCUGAAUUCGAGGCAACGCGAAGAACCUUACCAGGGCUUGACAUCCCGCGAAUCUCCAGGAAAGUGGAGAGUGCCUUCGGGAGCGCGGAGACAGGCGGUGCAUGGCUGUCGUCAGCUCGUGUCGUGAGAUGUUGGGUUAAGCCCCGCAACGAGCGCAACCCUCGUCCUUAGUUGCCAGCAUUGAGUUGGGCACUCUAGGGAGACUGCCGGUGACAAACCGGAGGAAGGUGAGGAUGACGUCAAGUCAGCAUGCCCCUUAUGCUCUGGGCAACACACGUCCUACAAUGGUCGGGACAAAGGGGAGCGAGCUCGCGAGAGUCAGCGAAUCCCAGCAAACUCGGCCUCAGUUCAGAUGGCAGGCUGCAACUCGCCUGCCUGAAGGAGGAAUCGCUAGUAAUCGCAGGUC